rnacentral:rRNA from 1 species
UACAGGGGGUGCAAACGUUGCUCGGAAUUAUUGGGCGUAAAGAGCUCGUAGGCGGUUUGUCGCGUCUGCUGUGAAAACUCGGGGCUUAACUCCGGGCCUGCAGUGGGUACGGGCAGACUAGAGUGCGGUAGGGGAGACUGGAAUUCCUGGUGUAGCGGUGAAAUGCGCAGAUAUCAGGAGGAACACCGGUGGCGAAGGCGGGUCUCUGGGCCGUAACUGACGCUGAGGCGCGAAAGCGUGGGGAGCGAUCCGG